UACAGAGACUGCAAGCGUUAUUCGGAUUCACUGGGCGUAAAGGGUGCGUAGGCGGGUUUUUAAGUCAGAGGUGAAAUCCUGGAGCUCAACUCCAGAACUGCCUUUGAUACUGAGAAGCUUGAGUCCGGGAGAGGUGAGUGGAACUGCGAGUGUAGAGGUGAAACUCGUAGAUAUUCGCAAGAACACCAGUGGCGAAGGCGGCUCACUGGCCCGGUACUGACGCUGAGGUGCGAAAGCGUGGGGAGCAAACAGG
rnacentral:rRNA from 1 species